CCGUCUAUCCUUGCAAUCAUGGCUGGUGCGUCCUUUCUCCUGUCUUCACAGAGUUCAUGGAGCACCUAAAUUAAUUGGGAUCAUCUCAUUAACAUACUUGGGGAAUAUCGCCAGGUUCCUUCUUGACCGGCUGUACAAAGUCUGGUGCCAAUUUGUUGGGCUAGAAGCAUACGAAUUACUGGAAGUUAGAAUUGGAAAGGUCCCUUUAUGCAUUUGCAUAUAUUACCAAACAGGAGGUUAUGGAUGAUGAGCAGUUGAGGACCGGUGACAAUCUGUUAGUAUUUGAGAACGAUGAUCCAUGGAUUAUUUUGUUCGUAAAUCUGUUCCACGUACUAAUGAAAUAUUAUUUUUUUGAAUUGCUGGAAGCUUUAUGAAUG
rnacentral:lncRNA from 1 species